UACGUAGGGGGGCAAGCGUUGUCCGGAUUUAUUGGGCGUAAAGAGCGUGUAGGCGGCCAGGUAGGUCCGUUGUGAAAACUGGAGGCUUAACCUCCAGCUGUCGAUGGAAACCAUCUGGCUAGAGUCCGGAAGAGGAGAGUGGAAUUCCUGGUGUAGCGGUGAAAUGCGCAGAUAUCAGGAAGAACACCCGUGGCGAAGGCGGCUCUCUGGGACGGUACUGACGCUGAGACGCGAAAGCGUGGGGAGCAACAGG
rnacentral:rRNA from 1 species